GCCGAGAUAACUUAGUUGGUAGAGCAGAGGACAUAAAAUCCUCGUACCACCAAUUCAAAUCUGGUUUCUGGCA
rnacentral:tRNA from 1 species